rnacentral:rRNA from 1 species
CAACUUUCAACAACGGAUCUCUUGGCUCUUGCAUCGAUGAAGAACGCAGUGAAAUGCGAUAGGUAAUGUGAAUUGCAGAAUUCCGUGAAUCAUCAAAUCUUUGAACGCAAAUUGCGCUCCUUGGUAUUCCGAGGAGCAUGCUUGCUUGAGUGUUAGU